AGUUAGAUGAUAUUCCAGAGACUGCAGAACCAGGAAAGUCAGCAUUGGAUUUAUAUUUAGAGGAGUCAAAACUAGAAAUGAGAGCUCAUCAUGAUUUGAAUGUGUUGCGAUAUUGGAAAGAGAACAGGCAUCGUUUUGGCGCACUUGCAUUCAUGGCAAUGGACAUUCUCAGCAUACCUAUUACUACUGUGGCGUCCGAGUCUUCUUUCAGUAUUGGAGCUCACAUUAUAAAACAAGUACAGAACUCGCCUUAUUCCUAAAAAUGUGCAAGCUUUAUUGUGUACUAGGUCUUGGAUUCAUGGCUAUAAAGUUGAUGGUGAAGAUGAAGAUGAAGAAGAUGAGAUAGUCAUUAUCCGAGAGGCUCCAUGUCAAGCAUUAACAACUCAAGACCAUGUUGGUACCAUGGAAUUAUAGCUGGUGGGACCAACUGAGAAGGAGCAAUAUUAUGUUUUUUUCCCUUAUCCCUUCUUUUUUUUCUCUGCGUCCAUUCGUAUGAGUAGCUUCUUUAAAUAUUAUGUUUCAUAUCCUUCUCUAAUAACACUAUUGACCGUUGCAUUUGCCUAUUUACAGGUACCUGAAAGAUCAAUUUUCUUCAUUGAAGAUGGGAAGAAGGGUUCAGGCUGGUUAAUGAUCACGUUUGUCUUUGUUUUUUUUGUUUUUUUUUUUGGCAU